UAGCGUGCAAACGAAUGUCGGCAUUCGACACUCGCACCCUCUGCUACAUGGCUGUAAUUACAAUGGAGGUCAGUAUAAUUCAGUAAGUAAAAAAAAAGUCAGAAAUAACCGACCAACUAUACUAUACCUAGACAAGGAACCGAACUAAGACCGGCAUCAUAAAGGGCCUAUUCGGUUAUAAGCUCUUUCUGCUUCGGCAUCGACAUAUCUUUCAGCCAGUGAAAGUCCUCCUGAUCGU
rnacentral:lncRNA from 1 species